ensembl:lncRNA
UGAUUUCCCUGACCGGGAAUUGAACCCGGGCCGCAGCGGUGAGAGCGCCGAAUCCUAGCCACUAGACCAUCAGUGACACAAUUAUGCAAAUGAAGUCUUAGUUUAAGUCGAAAACUUUAAAAACAUCUGUAGUUUGGCUUGAAUCAAAAGUUGGAUCUGGAAUUCCAAACUCUAAAUCUCAUUUCCGUGACCGGGAAUUUAACCCGGGCCGCGGCGGUGAAAGCGCCAAAUCCUAGCCACUAGACCAUCAGGGACAUGAUUAUGCUAAUGAAGUCUUAGUUUAAGUCGAAAACUUUAAAAACAUCUGCAGUUUGGCUUGAAUUAAAAGUUGGAUCUGGAAUUCUAAACUCUAAAUCUCAUUUCCGUGACCGGGAAUUUAACCCGGGCCGCGGCGGUGAAAGCGCCAAAUCCUAGCCACUAGACCAUCAGGGACAUGACUAUGCUAAUGAAGUCUUAGUUUAAGUCGAAAACUUUAAAAACAUCUGCAGUUUGGCUUGAAUUAAAAGUUGGAUCUGGAAUACCAAACUCUAAGUCUCAUUUCCCUGACCGGGAAUUGAACCCGGGCCGCGGCGGUGAGAGCGCCGAAUCCUAGCCACUAGACCAUCAGGGACACAAUUAUGCAAAUGAAGUCUUAGUUUAAGUCGAAAACUUUAAAAACAUCUGCAGUUUGGCUUGAAUUCCCUGACCAGGAAUUUAACACUUUAUAUAUGAUUUCCCUGACCGGGAAUUGAACCCGGGCCGCAGCGGUGAGAGCGCCGAAUCCUAGCCACUAGACCAUCAGGGACACAAUUAUGCAAAUGAAGUCAUCGUUCAUGUCGAAUGCUUUAAAAACAUCUGUAGUUUGGCUUGAAUUAAAAUUUAGAGUUUCAAUUCCCCGACUAGGAAUUUAACACUUUAUAUCUGAUUUCCCUGACCGGGAAUUGAACCCGGGCCGCGGCGGUGAGAGCGCCGAAUCCUAGCCACUAGACCAUCAGGGACACAAUUAUGCAAAUGAAGUCAUAGUUUGAGUCGAAUACUUUAAAAACAUCUGCAAUUUUGCUUGAAUUAAAAGUUGGAUCUGGAAUUCCAAACUCUAAAUCUCAUUUCCCUGACCGGGAAUUGAACCCGGGCCGCGGCGGUGAAAGCGCCGAAUCCUAGCCACUAGACCAUCAGGGACAUGACUAUGCUAAUGAAGUCUUAGUUUAAGUCGAAUACUUUAAAAACAUCUGCAGUUUGGCUUGAAUUAAAAGUUAAAGCUUGAAUUCCC